UGGGGAAUUGUUCACAAUGGGCGCAAGCCUGAUGACGCAACGCCGCGUGGGGGAUGAAGGUCUUCGGAUUGUAAACCCCUGUCGAAUGGGACGAAAGACUCGCGAGUUAAUACUUCGCGGGAGUGACGGUACCGUUAAAGGAAGCCACGGCUAACUCUGUGCCAGCAGCCGCGGUAAUACAGAGGUGGCAAGCGUUGUUCGGAAUUACUGGGCGUAAAGGGCGCGUAGGCGGCCUACUAAGUCAGACGUGAAAUCCCCCGGCUUAACCUGGGAACUGCGUCUGAUACUGGAAGGCUUGAGUAUGGGAGAGGGAUGUAGAAUUCCAGGUGUAGCGGUGAAAUGCGUAGAUAUUUGGAGGAACACCGAUGGCGAAGGCAGCCCCCUGGGCUAACACUGACGCUCAUGCACGAAAGCGUGGGGAGCAAACAGGAUUAGAUACCCAAGUAGUCCCUGAGCGGGCUGGCAAGGCGCAU
rnacentral:rRNA from 1 species